rnacentral:rRNA from 1 species
UGGGGAAUCUUGCACAAUGGGCGCAAGCCUGAUGCAGCAACGCCGCGUGCAGGAAGAAGGCCCUAGGGUUGUAAACCCCUUUCCUGAGGGAAGAAAAUGGCCGGACCUACGGAAAAAAGCGCGGCCAACAUAUCCUGCCACACACGCCGCGCGUAACACACUUAGCACCACGCGUUAUCCGGAUUUAUUGUGCGUAAAGAGCUCGCAUGCGGUUCAUGCAAACUGGCGUGAAAACUUGCCGCUUAUCCUCGAGAGAUCACUCGAUACUACAGUGACUAUGAUGCGGUAAGAGAACGGGGAAUUCCUGGGGUAACGGUGAAAUGCCCAAAUAUCAGGAAGAACACCCGUGGCCAAAGGCCCGCUCUGGGCCUGAACUGAACCUUAAGACCCAAAACCUGGGUAACAAACAAGAAUAAAAACCCUGGGAAUCCCUGCCCCAAACCUAGGGAACUAAGUGUGGGUCUCAACCAACCACAUCCGCGCCGACGCUAACGCAAUAAGUGCCCCGCCUGGGGAGUACGGUCGCAAGACUA